CGGUAAUACGGAGGAUGCAAGCACCUACCGGAAUUAUUGGGCGCGGGGCGUCCGCAGGUGGCAUUACAAGUCUGCUGAAUUAGACGAGGACUCAACUUCUGAGCAGCGGUGGAAACUGGAGAGCUAGAGUACGGUAGGGGUUGAGGGAAUUCCCAGUAUAGCGGUGAAAUGCGUAGAUAUUGGGAAGAACACCAGUGGCGAAGGCGCUCAACUGGGCCGUAACUGACACUGAGGGACGAAAGCUAGGGGAGCGAAAGGGAUUAGAUACCCCCGUAGUCCUAGUCGUAAACGAUGAACACUAGGCGUUGCUUGUAUCGACCCAGGCAGUGCCGUAGCCAACGCGUUAAGUGUUCCGCCUGGGGAGUACGCACGCAAGUGUGAA
rnacentral:rRNA from 1 species